rnacentral:lncRNA from 1 species
CUCCAGCCAGGCACACUGGGGACAGGUGGGACCUCCUGGAGCUGCCUGGGGGGCCUGGUGAUGCCAGCCUACGGCAGUCAUACUGCCCACACUGCCAAGAGCCCACAUGGGCAAGGGCCAAAGACCUCCAGCCCACCAGCACCACCCCCUACUCCACCCCAACUUCAGGGCGUGCCUCCAUUUUUCCAGCUGUCAAGAAAGCCCUUACCAAGAGGCCCAGGCUCUGUGGGCUCCAGCUCUGCAUUUCCUGGUUCUGGUGUGGAGACAGAGCAUGAUGAGGAGCAACGAUGUGUCUGCCUGGUUCAUCGCUGAAUCCCCAGGGCCUAGCCCAGCACUUGGCACGUGGUAGGGACUCAACACAUCGCUGCUGAAUGAAUGAAUGUUGGCCCUGCUAGGA